rnacentral:rRNA from 1 species
UACGUAGGUGGCAAGCGUUGUCCGGAUUUACUGGGUGUAAAGGGCGUGUAGCCGGGCUGACAAGUCAGAUGUGAAAUUCCGGGGCUCAACCCCGGACCUGCAUUUGAAACUGUUGGUCUUGAGUAUCGGAGAGGCAGGCGGAAUUCCUAGUGUAGCGGUGAAAUGCGUAGAUAUUAGGAGGAACCCCAGUGGCGAAGGCGGCCCGCUGGACGACAACUGACGGUGAGGCGCGAAAGCGUGGGGAGCAAACAGG